rnacentral:rRNA from 1 species
AACGAACGCUGGCGGCAGGCCUAACACAUGCAAGUCGAGCGCCCCGCAAGGGGAGCGGCGGACGGGUGAGUAACGCGUGGGAACGUGCCCCAAGGUACGGAAUAGCCCCGGGAAACUGGGGGUAAUACCGUAUGUGCCCUACGGGGGAAAGAUUUAUCGCCUUGGGAUCGGCCCGCGUUGGAUUGGGUAGUUGGUGGGGUAAUGGCCUACCAAGCCGACGAUCCAUAGCUGGUUUGAGAGGAUGAUCAGCCACACUGGGACUGAGACACGGCCCAGACUCCUACGGGAGGCAGCAGUGGGGAAUCUUAGACAAUGGGCGCAAGCCUGAUCUAGCCAUGCCGCGUGAGCGAUGAAGGCCUUAGGGUUGUAAAGCUCUUUCAGGGGGGGAAGAUAAUGACUGUACCCCCAGAAGAAGCCCCGGCUAACUCCGUG